UACGUAGGGGGCAAGCGUUGUCCGGAAUUAUUGGGCGUAAAGCGCACGUAGGCGGCUUUGUAAGUUAGAGGUGAAAGCCCGGGGCUCAACUCCGGAAUUGCCUUUAAGACUGCAUCGCUAGAAUUGUGGAGAGGUAAGUGGAAUUCCGAGUGUAGAGGUGAAAUUCGUAGAUAUUCGGAAGAACACCAGUGGCGAAGGCGACUUACUGGACACAUAUUGACGCUGAGGUGCGAAAGCGUGGGGAGCAAACAGG
rnacentral:rRNA from 1 species